UCGUCAACAUUGCCUGUAGACACUGUAAUCGCUGUCACAGCCAAUAUUGAUGAAC
rnacentral:pre_miRNA from 1 species